rnacentral:rRNA from 1 species
GAGUUUGAUCAUGGCUCAGAUUGAACGCUGGCGGCAGGCCUAACACAUGCAAGUCGAGCGGUAGAGAGAAGCUUGCUUCUCUUGAGAGCGGCGGACGGGUGAGUAAUGCCUAGGAAUCUGCCUGGUAGUGGGGGAUAACGUUCGGAAACGGACGCUAAUACCGCAUACGUCCUACGGGAGAAAGCAGGGGACCUUCGGGCCUUGCGCUAUCAGAUGAGCCUAGGUCGGAUUAGCUAGUUGGUGGGGUAAUGGCUCACCAAGGCGACGAUCCGUAACUGGUCUGAGAGGAUGAUCAGUCACACUGGAACUGAGACACGGUCCAGACUCCUACGGGAGGCAGCAGUGGGGAAUAUUGGACAAUGGGCGAAAGCCUGAUCCAGCCAUGCCGCGUGUGUGAAGAAGGUCUUCGGAUUGUAAAGCACUUUAAGUUGGGAGGAAGGGCAGUAAAUUAAUACUUUGCUGUUUUGACGUUACCGACAGAAUAAGCACCGGCUAACUCUGUGCCAGCAGCCGCGGUAAUACAGAGGGUGCAAGCGUUAAUCGGAAUUACUGGGCGUAAAGCGCGCGUAGGUGGUUUGUUAAGUUGGAUGUGAAAUCCCCGGGCUCAACCUGGGAACUGCAUUCAAAACUGACGAGCUAGAGUAUGGUAGAGGGUGGUGGAAUUUCCUGU